rnacentral:ncRNA from 1 species
UUUCCGAAAAGGUAAACCCUGGGCAACCAGGGGGCACAAAGCCGCGGACCCCGAACAGUCGGGGUAGCCGGGCUGUCGAA